UAAGUCUUUACGGAGAAAGCUUUAUGCACCAUUGGAUGAGCCUGCACUUGAUUAGUUUGUUGGUAGGGUAAUGGCCUACCAAGACUGUGAUCAAUAGCUGAUUUGAGAGGAUGAUCAGCCACAUUGGGACUGAGACACGGCCCAAACUCCUACGGGAGGCAGCAGUGGGGAAUCUUGCACAAUGGAGGAAACUCUGAUGCAGCGAUGCCGCGUGAGUGAAGAAGGCCUUUGGGUUGUAAAGCUCUUUCGUCGGGGAAGAAAAUGACUGUACCCGAAUAAGAAGGUCCGGCUAACUUCGUGCCAGCAGCCGCGGUAAUACGAAGGGACCUAGCGUAGUUCGGAAUUACUGGGCUUAAAGAGUUCGUAGGUGGUUGAAAAAGUUAGUGGUGAAAUCCCAGAGCUUAACUCUGGAACUGCCAUUAAAACUUUUCAGCUAGAGUAUGAUAGAGGAAAGCAGAAUUUCUAGUGUAGAGGUGAAAUUCGUAGAUAUUAGAAAGAAUACCAAUUGCGAAGGCAGCUUUCUGGAUCAUUACUGACACUGAGGAACGAAAGCAUGGGUAGCGAAGAGGAUUAGAUACCCUCGUAGUCCAUGCCGUAAACGAUGUGUGUUAGACGUUGGAAAUUUAUUUUCAGUGUCGCAGCGAAAGCGAUAAACACACCGCCUGGGGAGUACGACCGCAAGGUUAAAACUCAAAUGAAUUGACGGGGACCCGCACAAGUAGUGGAGCAUGUGGUUUAAUUCGAAGAUACGCGCAGAACCUUACCAACACUUGACAUGUUCGUCGCGACUCUAAGAGAUUAGAGUUUUCGGUUCGGCCGGACGAAACACAGGUGCUGCAU
rnacentral:rRNA from 1 species